CUCAGCUGCCGGCAUUGGCUAGAUUGACCGUCUUUUUUGCACAGCCACCCGUUGCAGCGGCGCGACACGGCUGGACCAGUUUUGUGUGCCCUUUGGCUGCUUAGCCCGCUGCGAUAGGCGUGCCGGCCGGCAGCUGUCGUCUCCCCUGUCACCGGAGUGCUCGCUCUCCCCGCACCACAUGCAUUGCGAGCCGCCAGAGCUCUACACGAUCAUCUUAGUCUUUUGGCACACUUGCUGCGCCCUUUCGGCGCACGCUGCAUCUUGCCCAUCCGAGCCUGGGCAUUGGAGAUUGAUGAGCAGUCGACGACCGGAGAUGCCAGAAGGAGCGGCGAGUGAUAGCGUCUACUCGUUCGGCGAGGUUAACCGACGGUUGUGGCUUCUGCGUUCUAAUUCGUUACCGAAGGGUAGCGCUUGUGAUGAUGCGUUGGUGGACUGGGCUGCGAUACGCGGGUUGCUGGAGGAGGCUCCGGAAGAGCGGAGCGGCGUUUUAUCGCGUUACCUGCUGAGGUGGCUGAACCCAUAUGUUAUGCUUGCGUGGAGGGAGCGGCUGGAGGAGGCGUACAUGCCUCCACCACAGCGGGCGCACCGCGCCGUGUGCUGUGGCGCUCUGCUAAGCCGCGCGUUUCGCGAGGAGGAGGUUCGCGGGGGCCGCGACGCGUGGCGUGCGCGCGUUGAAGCUGCGCUUCCAGUGCAGUGUGGAGCCUGCGAUGACCCCUCGGGGGAAAGUGAAGUGAUUGGCGGCGAUUAUAACGGGCGAUGGGGUGGCGCGCGCGUGGCGGCUAUCAACGAGCUGUCACGUGUGAGGUUCCGUGGUGAGGAGGGUGUCCAUGGACGGCUGCGGUGGGUGGGGUACGUUCGAUCGAGCGACACGCCGCACACGCUUUUGUGCGGUGUGGAGUGGGACGCUGACAGCGCGUUGCCGCCGUAUCGUGCGCGUGUGGCUGGUGAUGCGGCUGAGGAAGUAGUGCACGACGGGUGCGUGCAGGGCGAGCGUCUGUUUUACCAGGUUCAGGAUGGGCGGGCGCGGUGCACGUGCGAGUACGUGCAGGAUCUGGUGCCGGUUUCGACGAUUGGAAUCGCGGAUACUGGGUGCCCGCGUAUGCCUCACGCUCCGUCGCUGCUUUGGGCGCUACUCCGCACGUUUCGCUCCGAUCUAAUGGCGAUACUGCCACCUUCGAUUGCCGGUAUGAUAUGUGAAGUGUCGACACCGUGGUUGCUGCAGCAGUUUGUGCUGUUCCUGCAGUCGAGCAAGGAGCGGGCGGGAGCGAGAAAAGGGCUGCUCUUCUUCUCGAUUCUUGUGAUCGUGAAGUUGGUGCAACCAGCGUUGAUGAACAAGGAGAUGCACCGCAGUCGGCGUGUUUCGAGCCUUUUCCGCACCUCGACACUCGCCCUGAUUUUCGAAAAGUGUCUGACGAUAUCGCCGGAUGCGCUGUCGAGACCGGACAUGAACACUGGUCGUGUGCUAGCGAUGGCGAGCUCUGACGUUGAGAACAUCAAGGAAUUUCCCACGCGGGUGAUGUUCCUGUGGAUGGCGCCGACUAUGCUGACGCUGUACGUUGCCUACCUCUUCGUUCUCGUGGGGCCGAGUGCCCUGGCUGCUGUCCUGGUUUUUGCCGCUUUACUGCCUGUCCAAGGGGGGCUAACGAAUGCUAUGGGCGGCGCACAAGAGAACCUGUCGAGCUGCACGGAUCAGCGCUUGCGUCGCACGAAUGAACUGCUCUCCGGCAUCCGUGUCGUGAAGAUGAUGGGAUGGGAGUCGAAGUUUGUCUCGGCGAUCGAAGAUAACGCACGGGCCGAUGAGUUGCGAUUCCGACGAAGACUGCAGAUGCGUCAAGUCGGGCUGUGGGCAUGCGUGUUCUCUACUCCGACGUUCAUGAUCGCCGCUGUUCUCACUACCUACACCCUCAGCGGACACAAGCUUGACGCAUCCGUGGUGUUCCCUCUCAUCGCAGUUGUCAGUGCUAUAACCUUCCCUGUAAUGAUGCUUCCGGAGGCCUUUACGUCGCUGGCGAAGUUCAUUGUGUCGACGGGGCGCGUCACGCAGUUCUUGGAGUGCGACGACUCGCACAUCAUCGUCGAGCACGCGGAGCGCAUGCUCAACAGCACAGGGAGUGGCGGCGCUGCUUCCGGGGACGCACCGCUGCCGAGUGCCGCUUCGGCCGACCUUGCAAGGGUGCUUGUGUCAGUGCCCGCCGCGCUUCCCGUGUACGAGCCGCGACACGUGGGGCUGCGCCGCGUGGCGCAGAGGAUACUGUGCGCGGUGCUGCGCCGCCGUGUGCCGGUGGAGCUUCAGUGGCGGAGGGCGGCUGCUUCCCCUGCCAUGGGUGAAGGCGGUAGGAAGCCUGCGCGCGUUGCUGUGGGGAACGAUGAUGGCGGUGUGGCUGUUGUGGGUGGUGAGAACGGGCGCGGCAGUGAUAGUGGCGUGGCUCUGUACGCGAUGGUGGACAGGGCUCUCCUGCGCGAUGUGCGCGUGUCGUUCCCGCGCGCGCAGUUGACGGUUGUUGUUGGCGCGACGGGGAGCGGGAAGUCUGUGCUGCUGGCGACGCUUUUGGGUGCGUUCCGGUUCGAGGGGCAUGUGAGCGUAGCGAAGUCGGUAGCUUACGUGCCGCAGCAGCCGUGGAUCAUGCAGGAAACGUUAGAGGCGAACAUCACGUUCUUCGAGGGCGAUCGGCGCGGCGCUGCUGGUGGCGCGGCGGUCGAUAGCAAUAGCGGCUCUGCGCAGGCGUUCUCGCCUCUGAGGUGCGCUGAGCAAGCUGCUGGCGCUGCUGCUGUGCCACGGUGCUUCAGCUGCGGCCGUGACGCGGCGAGCGAGCGUCUUGCGCGCGCUGUGCGGAGCUGCCAGCUGAAUGCUGAUGUGGCACUGAUGGCGCGCGGGCUGGGGACAGAGAUCGGCGAGCGUGGCAUCAACCUGAGCGGUGGGCAGAAGGCGCGCGUGAGCCUUGCGCGCGCCGUGUAUGCGGACCGCGACGUGUACCUGCUGGACGAUCCGCUGUCGGCGCUGGACGCGCACGUUGGGCGGCGCGUGAUGGACGAGGUUGUGCUGCGCGCGUUGGCGGGCAAGACGCGCGUGCUAGCGACGCACCAGCUGCAGGUGCUGCCGCACGCGGACCAGGUCGUGGUGAUGCGCGAGGGCUGCGCCGUGUUUGCGGGCAGCUACGCUGCUUACGCUGCGUCGGAGUGGAAGGCGUACGUGGAGAGCGAGGAGGCCGCCGCCGCGAGCAAGAAGAGCGGGUGUGGCGGUGGUGAUACUGUGGCGGAGUGCACCGAGGCCAGUUCUGCGUGGUCGUCUGCGGUGAACGUGGAGUCGUGUGUGGGCACGCGUGAGGAGCGUGACCACGCUCGGUGUGGCGGUGCCGAUGGCUGUGCCAGCAAAGACGGCGGUGAGUGGGGGGAGAACGAUGGCAGCCCUUUGCCGAGAAUGCACUGGCAGGGCUCAUGGGCCAGCGAGAACUCAGAGGCGGAAGGCUGCAACAAUAGGGACUCUACGGUAUGUAAAGGUGUUAGGCUCGCAAGCAGGUCUAAGGCCGCGCCGCGCACGGCGAAGGGCUCAUCUGGGCUGGCUACGGGUGAGGAUGCAGCGGACGGCGGCGACCUGAUGACUGCGGAGGAGAAGGAGACAGGGCACACACCGUGGAGUGUGUACCGUGCCUACUUUGAGGCGGGCGGGGGCGUCCCGGUCGCAAUUCAAAUUGUGCUGCGCUACUUCGUUAGCGAAGCGCUCUCGACAGGCUCCAGCGUUUGGCUGACGCUGUGGUCAGUGAACUACUUUGGUUCUUCUCUCUCUACCAACGAACAGCUUGGCGUGUAUCUUGGACUCGUCUUUGUGGUUGCUGUCACAGUGUCUGCCAACGACCUGUUUAUUUUUCAGUUCGCUCGCCGCGCUGCCUGCCGCUUGCACGCCAUACUCUUGUACACGGUGAGCUCAGCCACGCUGACGUUUUUUGACCGCACACCACUGGGUCGCAUUGUCAACCGGUUCAGCAGGGACGUGCACGUCCUUGACGAUGAGCUGCCGGCGAACGUGAUUCCCUUUUUGGGCAUUACGGGAUAUGUCAUGACGUCUUUAGCAGUGACGCUAUACACUUCACCGCUUAGUGUGGUCGUGGUGCUGCUAGCGGCUUACGCUUUUGUGCGCCUGCUCAAGUUCUACGCGACAGUGGUGCGUGAGGUGCGACGGCGCAGCAGUGUGGGGCAGUCUCCGUUGCUCUCGCUGCUGGAGGAGGUGGUGCACGGGCGUGCGACGAUCGCUGCAUACGACAAGUCGCACGUGCUAUUCGCGGAGGCGCUCCUGCGGCUGGACCUUGUGUACAGCUGCACCUACGUGGAGAAGGUUAUGACGUUGUGGCUCGCUAUCCGAAUCGAGUACAUUGCGUCAUUGGCCGUUAUUGCUGUGGGGCUGAUCGGCGUUGUGGAGAAGCUGGUAGAGGCGUCGCCGGCGCUGCCGGAGGCGCGCGUGGGCCUGAUCUCGCUGAGCCUCACCAUGUGCCUCGAUCUCAGCUGGUCGCUAUCUGCACUCCUAGACCUUGCUGCCGCUGUCGAGGCGAGCAUGAACAGUGUGCAGCGCGUUUGCCACUACAUUGAUCACGUGCCGCAGGAAGCGGCGCUCCUGGAGCCGCGGGACGCGUAUGUGGCGCGCGCUGUGGCAGCGAGUGGCGGCAGCCGCAGGGGAGGAGGCGAGAGCUCCAGAAGUGCGAGCGACAUCGUUGUGGCUGCCGGCGGUGAUGACGACGAGGCCGCGCCUGCGCGACAGGGUGUUGCGGCAAGGAGCGGCGCGUUUGGCGCGCUGAGGCUGGAGCACGUGGACCUGCGGUACCGGCCAGGGCUGCCGCUGGUGCUGCGCGAUGUCUGCUUUACGAUCGCCCCUGGGCAGAAGGUGGGCGUUGUGGGGCGGACGGGGAGCGGGAAGUCGACGCUGCUGCUGGCCUUCCUGCGGCUGGUGGAGGUAAGCGGCGGUCGCAUGCUCGUCUGCGGGCGCGACGCGCGGACGUACACGCUUCCCGCUCUGCGGCGGCUGUUUUCCAUGAUCCCGCAGGAUCCCGUGCUGUUCGAUGGCACGGUGCGCAGCAACGUGGAUCCGUUCGGCGACGCGACGGACGAGGAGGUGCGUGCCGCGCUGGUGUCUGUGGGGUUUGUGGGGGUGGGCGGCAGCUCAGCUACCUUUCCUACAGCUUCUGGACUGCCGAGCGCUGCAUCUGACAGCAUGCCUGCGCUGGACACUGUGGUGCAGGGGGGCGGGUCGAACUUCAGCGUUGGGCAGCGCCAGCUGCUGUGCUUAGCGCGCGCGCUGCUGAAGAAGGGGAGUGCAUUCAUCCUGAUGGACGAGGCGACGGCGAACGUGGACGCACAGCUGGACCAGACGGUGCAGCGUAUUGUGGCGGAGCAGUUUGGCGCGUACACGGUGGUGACGAUCGCGCACCGUCUGCACACGGUGGCGGCGUACGACGUAGUGCUUGUGAUGGCGCGCGGGCGUGUGGUGGAGAUGGGGCAGCCGCGGGCGCUGCUGGAGCGUCGCGACUCCGUGUUCUACGGUAUGGUAGCGCAGAGCGCAGCGGUGGCUGAUUCCCGUGAGGGCUUGUCGCGGGAGGAUGCCGAGGGUGCGGCCAGUGGUGCGCGUUCGCGUGGCGUCAGUGACGGGGGCGCUGAGCUGGGGGCGGCUGGGCGCGAACACCGCGUGGAGGCCGCGGUCGCGUCGCUCCUGCGUCAGUGCAAGUGACUGCGCAUUUCUGCAAGUCUUCAUUUCAGCGAGGCAAACCUCCCGACCGGUAGUGUGUCCCUUUUUUCCCGCUGCUCUUAUUGCAAUGCCGUGUUGUUCGAUUGCCUCUUGACGGAGGGGUGGAG
rnacentral:misc_RNA from 1 species